AGUGAACGCUGGCGGUAGGCCUAACACAUGCAAGUCGAACGGCAGCACAGGAGAGCUUGCUCUCUGGGUGGCGAGUGGCGGACGGGUGAGGAAUACAUCGGAAUCUACCCUUUCGUGGGGGAUAACGGAGGGAAACUUACGCUAAUACCGCAUACGACCUUCGGGUGAAAGCCGGGGACCUUCGGGCCUGGCGCGGAUAGAUGAGCCGAUGUCGGAUUAGCUGGUUGGCGGGGUAAAGGCCCACCAAGGCGACGAUCCGUAGCUGGUCUGAGAGGAUGAUCAGCCACACUGGAACUGAGACACGGUCCAGACUCCUACGGGAGGCAGCAGUGGGGAAUAUUGGACAAUGGGCGCAAGCCUGAUCCAGCCAUACCGCGUGGGUGAAGAAGGCCUUCGGGUUGUAAAGCCCUUUUGUUGGGAAAGAAAUCCUGUCGGUUAAUACCCGGUAGGGAUGACGGUACCCAAAGAAUAAGCACCGGCUAACUUCGUGCCAGCAGCCGCGGUAACAC
rnacentral:rRNA from 1 species